rnacentral:rRNA from 1 species
GUUUGAUUCUGGCUCAGAACGAACGCUGGCGGCAGGCUUAACACAUGCAAGUCGAACGCCCCGCAAGGGGAGUGGCAGACGGGUGAGUAACACGUGGGAACAUGCCCAAAGGUACGGAAUAUUCUCGGGAAACUGGGAGCAAUACCGUAUGUGCCCGAAAGGGGAAAGAUUUAUCGCCUUUGGAUUGGCCCGCGUCAGAUUAGGUAGUUGGUGGGGUAAUGGCCUACCAAGCCGACGAUCUGUAGCUGGUCUGAGAGGACGACCAGCCACACUGGGACUGAGACACGGCCCAGACUCCUACGGGAGGCAGCAGUGGGGAAUCUUGGACAAUGGGCGCAAGCCUGAUCCAGCCAUGCCGCGUGGAUGAUGAAGGCCCUAGGGUUGUAAAAUCCUUUCGUUGGGGACGAUAAUGACGGUACCCAAAGAAGAAGCUCCGGCUAACUUCGUGCCAGCAGCCGCGGUAAUACGAAGGGGGCUAGCGUUGUUCGGAUUUACUGGGCGUAAAGCGCGUGUAGGCGGGCUGGAAAGUUGGGGGUGAAUCCCGAGG